CCUCUUUGAGAAAUUAAUAUAAUACUUCAGUAAUAUUAGAGCUUAAUAUCUCCUCAAAGCCU
rnacentral:tRNA from 1 species